ACGGCAGUCAUCCUCACAUCUCCCCCGUUCCCCAUUUCUCCCAUCGCCAGCUCCCUCCCUCCGCAGCCGGCAGUCCCAGGUUAGGCCGCCCCUUCCCUUUGUCACCAUAGCCAGCGCGAGCUUCAUAGCCACUAAUCUUCCUCCAUUUCACGUCGAAUCUGGCCACGGAAGUGGCCGAGGAGGCCCUCGAGCUCGGCAUGCUCGCGCUAGCUCUAGGCUCCGUCGAAGGCGUACGCGGAGGCGCGGGACUUGCACGCCUCUCCUCUGCCCUACUCCUUCGAAUCCAGUCGCACAAGUGCUUGAGGAGGCGCUCGAGCUUGGCAUGCUCGCCGGCGACGCCGGGCCCCUCCCUCCUCCUGAUGCCUCCCUCACCGUCGCCGCCAUGAGCCUCUCCACCCUCUCCCGCGCGAUUGUCCGGGUCCAGGUUGCUGCAUCUUCUGGUUGUGAGUGGAUCCAAGAGUUAACAUGGUGCAGUAUCUUUUCGAAAGAUGAUGUAUUUCUUCAUAUAAGAAAGUAUGUUGGAGAAGUUAUUAUUGUAGAGGAAUUCAGUCUCAUGUGAUUCUCAAGAGCUAAAAUGGAAAAAGAAGUGCAGACCUCUCAUGCCUACACUAACUAAUCAGGUAGCAUAUGCAAAUUUUUAAGAAUACUACAUUCAGAUAUGACAUUUGAAUAUAAAAACUGGCAAUUAUGUACAGUAGACAGUUCCUAAGAAUUUCUGCAUUAGCGGCUUGUAGCUUCAAUUCUUCAAUCAGCCAGUUGUUAAUUUGUUGUUCUAUAACUAAUUGAGUAAGAGAUUUUUUUUCCCGGUUGGCCGAAUUAUGUGCCGAUGAUAUGAUCGCGGUGAAUAAUAUGGGUUGCCUAUGUGCUCAUGAAACUAAAAAGUCUUCAAAAGGUGGUCUUCCAAUGAAAUUUGAAAUAUAAUAAAAACAUGGUAUCAGAAAAGAACGAAUAGGGGAAGAGUCAACAUGGAUGUUGUCCCGGUUUUAUCCCAUCCUGGAGGUACAUAUGUGAGAACUACACUUACUAUUUCCUAUUACCAUAUCCUUCAUUAAGGAAAAAUUCCCUACAUAAGCUUGACCUAGCCAAAUGGCUAACAAGCAUGUAGCCAUGGACAAUACUGCAUGAAUUAGUCAGGAACUUCUCAGCACAAACUCAUCUAUUUCAGACUUCUCCUCUGUUCUUCUCUGGACUCUAUAAAUUAAAAUAUCACACAUGCAUAUGCAAAGGCAGUGGAAGCAAAGAGAACUUACAUUGGAGGGAGGCACAACGAAUCCGCAGCACGCUCCAGAAGCAACUGGAAGGCGACGGAGCGGACAACAGCAGCUUGGACCGAUAGACGACGCUGAGAAAAGCAGAGGCUUACAGGAGGCAAAAUGCAGCAGUCAGCGAGCGGGUAAAUCCAAAACAUAGCAAAUAAUGGUGAUGGAGACACCUCAGCCAAAUGGUUCCAUGGCAAGUCAACCCAAAGUGCAGCAGCAACAAAGAACCAGCGGAGUUGCAGCAGAAAAGAGAGGCAAAAAUGAAAGCAAGAAGAAACCCAAAUCAAUGCAAAGGAAACGGGGUACUAAAAGCCUAGCCUGUUCAAAGCUUUCUGGCUACAAGAAGGUUGGGUGAAGUCUACAAUGGGUUCUUUUCCAAGGAAGGAGAAGGCUCAGGUGGCGCUGGUCUACAGCUAAAAGAACGUCAGCAGGUUCGCGACGAAGCUCAUGCAGGUCGCUGUGUUGAGGAGUGAGUUCCCCUCUUGCUGCUCUGCUCUGCUCUCACAAUCAACUGAAUCCCUUUAGCUAGUAGUAAAACAACAGUUGCAAGAGCUUUUUUUAAUUGCAUGAUGCACAGUUGAUGGUCAACUAAGACAAACCCAUAGUAUAAUCGUUAAGAUCAAGUUUGUAAUUUUAGUCGGACAUGUUGUCAAUACAAGGCCUACUCACAUGGUUAAUAUACUAA